UUACUCCAACAAUUAAUCCACACAAAUGGUCAACCGAAUAAUUUCUAGUCAUCUCUCCUCCUUCCAGGCUUUUUCUUCUUUGGACUAUAUGGCAUGUUACUUUCAUUGAAAGGGGAAUCACCUGGUCCCAACAUACAUGGCAAGUCAAGAAAAGCCAUUGUAACUUGUCCACACUGCAAACGAAACAUUGCUCAGAUCUUGUCCCCUGGACCUUGGAGGACUUUGUGUGGAUGAUCAGGGCCUACCAAAGCAAGGUUUCUCAAACAACUGUGGGGUGUUUGUUUUGAUGGAAAACAUGCAGCAAAUUAGGCGGCGGUGGUGCCUAGUUUUCCUGCAGAACUUUCCCAUGCCGUCUGAAGAAGAGCGGUUGAAAGAUCGAAAAAGGCGGUGAAAUCAAAACGCACUACAGGAUGAUGUAGAUGUCCCCCCAUGAAGUCACAUCAGCAUCCAGCUCUGCAGGACCAGGAAGCAGAUAUUCUUCUAAGGGACACUUUAGAGGCAGCAAGGUGGUGCGAACGACAAACAUUUAAAGCCACUGUUUCCCUCAGUGCAAUUGGGAUGGACGUGGAAGACCUCAUUAUAAUCCUUAAAGAACUACGGUUGUAUGAUGGCUUGGAUGAAGAGGAACUUAUUCUCCAAGGAACCAUUCAUGUUACAGAAAGAUUGAGAUGUUCUAUGUGGAGGCAGUUGACAAGAAAAUGACUCUUUUCCUCUUCUGAGGAGCAGGAGUGAAGCCAUUUUUGAAUAGUGGCCAAACCUUGUUUUUGUCUGCUGUGUAAAUUGUGUUGUUGUUUACAUCUUUACUAGAAGUCACCCGAGUCUCUGAUCUCUUUACUGGAGCUGGUAUAACUUAGUGUACAAAGCACAUUCAGCUUGUCAGUAUGUCUAUAUGGUAUAGUCUGUCUCCAUUCUCAUGAGGAAAGUAAAUAGCAUUAUAAAUCAGGAUAGGUAGUAACUGUAUAUGCUCAAUGGAAUAUAAUUCCAAGUUAAAAUUGUUGAUAAAUGUUAACAGUACAUGACAUACUUAAGUCUGUUCACAACAAGAUCCGUAGCUUGUCUCAUAGCAUGAAGCAAAACGUGUUAACACAUCUGCUGGUACCACUUUAUAAUAUUUCUUACGAUCUUCAAAUAUGAAAUAAGCUUGAAUUCAAUGUGUGCCUUGCGCAAACGUGUGUGACUGUCAUAUCAGAUGGACAAAAAGGUGGGCGGGGUCAAACAUUUGACUCAGUCCACAUUGCAGCCAGGGAUACUUGCAUAUUUUGGUGUGAAGUUCUCCAUGUGUUAUUCAACCAGACCCAUGCCAUCUCCUUCUAGGUAUUGUUCCUGUAGAUACACUCCAUUUAAAUUGAUAGAUUCUUUAAGCAGCAGCAAUGAAAUGUGUAACAAUAUGCUGGAAAAAUUAACAUGCACCCUCAAAAGACGUGGUUAGGUCUAUGCGGGGAACUUGCUGACAUGGAGAGAAUUACAUCAAUCUUGCAACAAUCACACACCAUCCAGAAGGCAAGGUCAGUACAGGUGCAUCAAAGCUGGGACAGAGAGAUUGAAAAGGAGCUAUCUCAAGACCAUCACUGUUAAACAGCCAUCACUAACACAGGGGCUGCUGCCUACAUACAUGACAUCAUUGGCCACUUUAAUGUUCACAUAGCUCAACUGUAUUUUAUACAAUUUAUUGCAUCUUACCUACACCGCUCAGUCAUUGCUCAUCCAUAUAUUCCAUUACUUAGAUGUGUGUAUUAGGUAGUUGUGGAAUUGUUAGAUAUUACUGCACUAUAAGCAUUUCGCUACACUCGCAAUAACAUCUGCUAACAAUGUGUAUGUGACCAAUGACAUUUGUUUUGAAGGUGUCUAGUCAGAGUUCUUGAUAUAUCGUACUGGUCUUAUUCUGUAAUUUGAGGUUGUUUUUCGGCUCUAUCCAAAUUGUAUUCUUAUUAAGACUCUUGAAAUAUUUGCUCUAUACAGCAAAAAUGUACACUUAACAUGUGAAUGUAAUUACACUAUUUUUUUAAAGACAGCAAAGAUGUGUAUAUGGUAUAUGCUCUUGAAUAAAAAUGUGGUAGAAAAUAAUUUACAGCUGUUUAAGUGGCUGAUGUAUUGUUCCAUGAACAGAC